GCACCAUAUACAAUGUUCGAAUUGAAAUUUGAUGUAUCGCGAAUCCGAUCUGGUAAAUUAUUGAUAUCACUGAUCAGAGGUCACCUCUGCGGUCGAGUUCGAAGGCGUAGAUUCUUAUAUUCAUACUCUUCUAUCAAAGUUUAAGACACCUGACGAUAUCCUACGGAUCAAAGAGGAAAUGUUUCCUUCCACCUGACGCGACUAUGCCGCCUCUCUCGGGAAAUUUCCAGUCAAUGUCAGCUAAAUUGUAACACGUGUAUGCGCUCUCUAUCGUAUGGUUCUCUAUUCUCUAUAUGCAUGCUAUAUGCAAUGCGCCAGUCGAUGUCGAUAUGGAUGAAAGGACUUUGAUUGGCUGAUUGGUUACACACCGAAAUAUCUGAAAAAUAAGCUUUUUAUGCAAAAUAAAAUUGACGCAAUGAA